GACGAACGCUGGCGGCGUGCUUAACACAUGCAAGUCGUACGGUAAGGCCCUUUCGGGGGUACACGAGUGGCGAACGGGUGAGUAACACGUGAGUAACCUGCCCACAACUUUGGGAUAACGCUAGGAAACUGGUGCUAAUACUGGAUAUGUGCUCCUGCUGCAUGGUGGGGGUUGGAAAGCUCCGGCGGUUGUGGAUGGACUCGCGGCCUAUCAGCUUGUUGGUGGGGUAGUGGCCUACCAAGGCGGCGACGGGUAGCCGGCCUGAGAGGGUGACCGGCCACAUUGGGACUGAGAUACGGCCCAGACUCCUACGGGAGGCAGCAGUGGGGAAUAUUGAACAAUGGGCGCAAGCCUGAUGCAGCAACGCCGCGUGCGGGAUGACGGCCUUCGGGUUGUAAACCGCUUUCAGCAGGGACGAAGCUUUUUGUGACGGUACCUGCAGAAGAAGCACCGGCUAACUACGUG
rnacentral:rRNA from 1 species